GACGGGGGGGGCAAGUGUUCUUCGGAAUCACUGGGCUUAAAGGGUGCGUAGGCGGUCUUGUAAGUAGGGUGUGAAAGCCCCCGGCUCAACCGGGGAACUGCGUCCUAAACUGCGAGGCUAGAGUGAGGUAGGGGUGUGUGGAACUUCCAGUGGAGCGGUGAAAUGUGUUGAUAUUGGAAGGAACGCCGGUGGCGAAAGCGACACACUGGACCUUGUCUGACGCUGAGGCACGAAAGCCAGGGGAGCAAACGGG
rnacentral:rRNA from 1 species